CCUACGGGUGGCAGCAGUGGGGAAUAUUGCACAAUGGGGGAAACCCUGAUGCAGCGACGCCGCGUGGGGGAAGAAGGUCCUCGGCGCGUAAAGCCCUUUCAGCAGGGAAGAAAAUGACGGUACCUGAAGAAAAAGCCCCGGCUAACUACGUGCCAGCAGCCGCGGUAAUACGUAGGGGGCGAGCGUUGUCCGGAUUUACUGGGUGUAAAGGGGGCGCAGGCGGGACGGCAAGCCAGGAGUGAAAACCCGGGGCUCAACCUUCAGACUGCAUUUGAAACUGCUGGGCUGGAGUGAAGUAGGGGUAGGCGGAAUUCCUGGUGUAGCGGUGAAAUGCGUAGAUAUUAGGAGGAACACCGGUGGCGAAGGCGGCUUGCUGGGCUGUAACUGACGUUGAGGCUCGAAAGCGUGGGGAGCAAACAGGAUUAGAUACCCGGGUAGUC
rnacentral:rRNA from 1 species